GGUUGUGUUACAUUGUUCUGAGUUACAUAUUAACUCAGGAUGUGUUGUGGAGGCCAUCAGUCAUCAGUGCUGCAGUUUAACAUGGAGGGUCUGAUAUGUUCUAAAGACCAGAGCUGAGUAACACUGUGUACAGGUCACACCCACUGCAUGCAGCACUGGAGUCCUACAGGAGCAUGUUGUAGACCAGGACCAACGAGGACAACCACAGGAGGUCUUUCCUACCAGUGGCCAUCAAACCCAGUAGGGAGCAGAGCUGAUACAAUGAUGACUGUCACUGUCAGUCUGUCAGCAUCCACAUCGGCCAAUCAGCUGUUUGUUCAUCGCUCAAACUUUAUGAAGAAUAAAGGACCAGAUUACUCAGGAGCUGAAAAUGUUAGUCAGGGUGGGGUAAGUAUUUUACUAAUGUUCUGUUCUAAAACAAAAUAGAAGAAUAAAGAGAAAACUCUAAGUUUAAUAUAGAAAUAAAAUGAAUGAAUGAAUAAAGUGAAUCUAUGGGGUUAGUGAGAGCUGCUUAAAGGCUCUGUGCAGAAUCAGCAACUGCUUCCUGUCAGAAAUCCAACACAGGAUAGAGAAAAGAACAUCAGACUGUCCAAGAACCAUCACAGGUCCAUCACAGGUCCCUCACAGGUCCCUAACAGAACCAUCACAGAACCCUCGCAGGUCCCUCACAGAACCAUCAGAGGUCCAUCACAGGUCCAUCACAGGUCCCUCACAGAACCAUCACAGGUCCAUCACAGGUCCCUCACAGAACCAUCACAGGUCCCUCACAGAACCAUCACAGGUCCCUCACAGGUCCCUCACAGAACCCUCACUCUCCAGGACACGGGGAUGUUAAAGCUGAAGAAGUGAAAACUAGAAACCUGCAUUUUUACCCUCAGGUUGUUGAUGGACGGUUUAAUGAAACCAGCUUGUUUAAUGGAACAAGAUUCACACUGCAGAUGAUCUCCUGCGCUCUCGAGCUCUGGGCCGCUGACUGUGUGUGGAGUUUAGUGAGUGUUUAUGGAGAGAUGUGAAGCAGUGUUGGUGAAUGAGGGAGGUUUUAUUCAGCAGGAGUCAGGAACAUGUCAACAACACAAAGUGAUAAAGAAGUGAGAAAGCUGUAGUAAUAUGUCACGAGAGACACCAGAGACACCAACGACACCAGAGACACCAGAGACACCAGAGACACCAGAGACACGAGAGACACCAGAGACACCAGAGACACCAGAGACACCAGAGACACAAGAGACAUGAGAGACACAGAGACACCAGAGAGACACCAGAGACACCAGAGACACAGAGACACCAGAGACACCAGAGACACGAGGGCCGUGGCCUGAGGAUCCAGCGUGACGUUACACUUUAUGGAAGUGAAGCAUUUGUGUUAUUUAACUAAAAGAUGAACUCAUGAGGUGAAGCCACACACUGGAGUGGGACCUGCUGUACAAUCUGUUGUAACUGCAGAUGAGUUAUAAACUGUAAUAAAACACUGAGUGAAGGUUAAACACCACACACAAGAAUAACA